GAUGAACGCUGGCGGCGUGCCUAAUACAUGCAAGUCGAGCGGACAGACGAGGAGCUUGCUCCUCUGACGUUAGCGGCGGACGGGUGAGUAACACGUGGAUAACCUACCUAUAAGACUGGGAUAACCUCGGGAAACCGGAGCUAAUACCGGAUAAUCUAUUGAACCGCAUGGUUCAAUAGUGAAAGACGGUUUUGCUGUCACUUAUAGAUGGAUCCGCGCCGCAUUAGCUAGUUGGUAAGGUAACGGCUUACCAAGGCAACGUUGCGUAGCCGACCUGAGAGGGUGAGCGGCCAGACUGGGACUGAGACACGGUCCAGACUCCUACGGGAGGCAGCAGUAGGGAUUCGUCCGCAAUGGGCGAAAGCCUGACGGAGCAACGCCGCGUGAGUGUUGAAGGUCGUCGGAUCGUAAAACUCUGUUAUUAGGGAAGAACAAAUGUGUAAGUAACUAUGCACGUCUUGACGGUACCUAAUCAGAAAGCCACGGCUAACUUCGUG
rnacentral:rRNA from 1 species